rnacentral:lncRNA from 1 species
CAUGUUUUGGCGUAUGGGUAUGCUGCUUCUUGGGCGUCCUUUGCGCCAACAUCAGGCAGCUUCUUGCUCGACUCGGACGGCGGCUUCACGCAGCUUCUUGCCAUCCAUGGCGCCGACGGCCACCUCACCUUCAUGCGCACGACGGCGACGUCACGUAGCUUCUUGACAUCCAUGGCGUCGGGGCAUGGUAAGCGGCGGUGGCAAGAUGCGAGCAACGAGGUGAGCCGUGGUGGCGACGUGAUCACAAGUGCUAGAGGUGAGAUACGCAGCAGCCCACGAUGGUUCAAUGUCUAUCUCGGAAGGAAGGGUUACAUGCGAUUGGAGGUGAAGCGACACACGUUUAAUGAGUUUGCAUUCAUCAAGGGGUAUAUUGGUAUAUAGUGACAUCUCA